rnacentral:rRNA from 1 species
GAUGAACGCUAGCGGCAGGCCUAACACAUGCAAGUCGAGGGGUAGCAGGAUUAAGCUUGCUUAAUUGCUGACGACCGGCGCACGGGUGCGUAACGCGUAUGCAACCUACCUUAUACUGGGGUAUAGCCCGGAGAAAUUCGGAUUAAUCCCCCAUAGUACUAGUGAAUCGCAUGGUUUAUUAGUUAAAGCAUUGCGGUAUAAGAUGGGCAUGCGUCCUAUUAGCUAGAUGGUGAGGUAACGGCUCACCAUGGCGACGAUAGGUAGGGGGCCUGAGAGGGUGGUCCCCCACACUGGUACUGAGACACGGACCAGACUCCUACGGGAGGCAGCAGUGAGGAAUAUUGGUCAAUGGGCGCAAGCCUGAACCAGCCAUGCCGCGUGCAGGAAGAAUGCCCUAUGGGUUGUAAACUGCUUUUAUUUGGGAAUAAACCUCUUUACGUGUAGAGAGCUGAAGGUACCAAAUGAAUAAGCACCGGCUAACUCCGUGCCAGCCGCCGCGGUAA